GCGGAGGGGAGCAGAGGAGCUCGCGCGCUCGUGAAGAGGAUAAGGAAGGAGAAAGAAGAGUAUGACAUAUGGGACCCAUGUGUAAGUGGGUGUGGAGUGGGAGAAUUGAAGGAGCCGUUGGGUUUUAGAGGGUGAAAAAUGAAGAGUUUGUUGGAGUAUACCUCUUAAUAUGAAGAGCAAUCUGUUUAAAGAGUUAGAUGGAGAGUCAAAUAGAGAGUCAAAAAUAACUAGUGUGUUGGAGUUGCUCUAACAACCGACUGGCUAUCCUCUUGAGCUCCUCACCCGAUUUUAUGAUUUUAUACGAACCGUGCAGGUACGAGUACAUGCCAAUAAUUAGAGCUGGAAGCUCCAGGUCGCUUCCAGAUCCAUCCGAGGACAGCAGCCAACCGACAGCAGUAGCUAGUCGGUUUUUAGUGGCUCCAUCCCAUGACUGCAGUCACGCACUCUCCCUCCAUCCUAAAAUAACCAUGCAAAAACAAGAUUAAAAAAACUCGAAAACACUCGAUCUGUGAUGACUAGACAACCUGGUUUUUUUUCGAAAGCGUGCAUAUGCACGUGCUUCGUUAAGAGGAAGGGGAAAGUUUACAAUCUCCACAGAGUCACGGCGAGGAGCCGCACUGAACAUAAAGAGAACGCAACAGAUAACUGAAAAAGGCGAAAGGGAGAGACCCUCCACCGAUAGCCUAAACAACUGAACCUGCAAAGAAAAAACACCAACACAAGGGAGCCAAAAAACUAGAUAUGGCGCAAACAACACGGCGGCAAAACAUCUGCCAGAUCAUCACGGUGGCAAAGCAUCCACCCGAGCACACGACGACAAAGCAUCCGCCAAUAGACAGGGGCCAAUCACACCCUCAGCGGUCGGCAUGAGGGAAUAUGCAAUUCAUGUGGUACAAGUUUCUUGGUUUUCAAGUUGUUGGAGGAGAAGGGGUGAGAUUUGUGUUCAGCAAAAUCGACAUGCAAAGUCCUGACAAGGAGUAUUCUUUUUGCAUAAAGCUUAUUGAUGAAAGAUACAUCUUAGUCCAUUGUGCUCCCUUUGUGCAUGGCUCCGAAGAACUUGUGAAGGAUCUUAACUGCAACAAUGAUCUGUACAAAUUUGUGAGGACCAGGAGAGAGAGGUUCCAGAUCGCUACAAUCAGUGGAAAUCUCCAGGCAAUCUCCUUUUGCCCUGACAUGUCAUCCAUAACAUCGUCAUCACUCUCAGCCUUGUCACUCAAUUCCGGAAGUGAAAAUAAUACCAAGCAAAGGCAUACUCGAAGUCGGUCAAAGAAUCAGGAAAUUGCUACUAAGAAAGGACUAGCAUCCCCCGGUUCCAUGGUAUGCGUCGCUCCCCACGAAUAAUUGAACGCUGCUAAAGUUGCCGUCAAAAGCUGGCUCCGGUGUAGCAAAUUCAUCUGCGGCUGGGCGAACUUAAUAGCAGGCAGCGGAAGAUAGACACUUGGAGAUCCAUUAACCAUCUGGGAGGACUCUCAAUUCUCCAUGGCGACUUCCUACUCUCCUUCCAACAGCAAUGGGACGCGGAGAUCUGUACAGUAAAAUUUAAGCACCUCUGUGUGGCAGAUGAUUAGAUCAGGCAUCAAAUAUGAACUUUCGAUCCCUGUGUUGACACAUAGGCAAUGCUGUAUUUUUUUUUGUCUGCUACUUGGCAUUUCCAUCUCAAACUCCCACCAUACCUCUCGGUUUCACUGUUUGCAAUUUUUCAUUUGCCUAAUAUUCUUAAUAAUCUAGGUAUUAUAAGCUUGUUCUAGCCUCUGAGACGGAGACACUCUUCUACACAGUUUAGCUUGUAAUUUUACAUGUUGACAUGGUUUAAAAAUUUGCCAGACCAAAAUGU